rnacentral:rRNA from 1 species
ACUCAAAGGAAUUGACGGGGGCCCGCACAAGCAGCGGAGCGUGUGGUUUAAUUCGAUGCAACGCGAAGAACCUUACCUGGGUUUGACAUGGAGCUGCACCACGGGUAAUGCCGUGUCCCUUCGGGGCGGUUCCACAGGUGCUGCAUGGCUGUCGUCAGCUCGUGCCGUGAGGUGUUGGGUUAAGUCCCCUAACGAGCGCAACCCCUGGGGUCCGUUGUAGGUUUCGGGCCCGACUGCCGCGCGCAACGCGGAGGAAGGUGGGGAUGACGUCAAGUCAGCACGGCCCUUACGUCCAGGGCGACACACACGCUACAAUGGCCGGUACAAUGGGUUGCCAAGCCGCGAGGCGGAGCCAAUCCCCUAAAGCCGGUCUCAGUUCGGAUGGUAGGCUGCAACUCGCCUGCCUGAAGCCGGAGUUGCUAGUAACCGUGGGUCAGCACACCACGGUGAAUACGUUCCCGGGCCUUGUACACACCGCCCGU